UGAGUAAUGCUUAGGAAUCUGCCAUUUAGUGGGGGACAACAUUCCGAAAGGAAUGCUAAUACCGCAUACGUCCUACGGGAGAAAGCAGGGGAUCUUCGGACCUUGCGCUAAAUGAUGAGCCUAAGUCGGAUUAGCUAGUUGGUGGGGUAAAGGCCUACCAAGGCGACGAUCUGUAGCGGGUCUGAGAGGAUGAUCCGCCACACUGGGACUGAGACACGGCCCAGACUCCUACGGGAGGCAGCAGUGGGGAAUAUUGGACAAUGGGCGGAAGCCUGAUCCAGCCAUGCCGCGUGUGUGAAGAAGGCCUUUUGGUUGUAAAGCACUUUAAGCGAGGAGGAGGCUCUCCUAGUUAAUACCUAGGAUGAGUGGACGUUACUCGCAGAAUAAGCACCGGCUAACUCUGUGCCAGCAGCCGCGGUAAUACAGAGGGUGCGAGCGUUAAUCGGAUUUACUGGGCGUAAAGCGUGCGUAGGCGGCUGAUUAAGUCGGAUGUGAAAUCCCUGAG
rnacentral:rRNA from 1 species